UACGUAGGCGGUUUAUUAAGUCAGAUGUGAAAGCCCCGGGCUUAACCUGGGAACUGCAUUUGAUACUGGUAAACUAGAGUAUGGUAGAGGGGGGUAGAAUUCCUAGUGUAGCGGUGAAAUGCGUAGAUAUUAGGAGGAAUACCAGUGGCGAAGGCGGCCCCCUGGACCAAUACUGACGCUGAGGUACGAAAGCGCGGGUAGCGAACA
rnacentral:rRNA from 1 species